UACGGAGGGGGCUAGCGUUGUUCGGAAUUACUGGGCGUAAAGCGCACGUAGGCGGCUUUGUAAGUUAGAGGUGAAAGCCCAGGGCUCAACCCUGGAAUUGCCUUUAAGACUGCAUCGCUUGAAUCAUGGAGAGGUGAGUGGAAUUCCGAGUGUAGAGGUGAAAUUCGUAGAUAUUCGGAAGAACACCAGUGGCGAAGGCGGCUCACUGGUCCGGUACUGACGCUGAGGAGCGAAAGCGUGGGGAGCGAACAGG
rnacentral:rRNA from 1 species